UGGGGCUGACCUCUCUGAAGCAAUAGGGC
rnacentral:piRNA from 1 species